rnacentral:lncRNA from 1 species
CUCAGAAGUGCCUGGCACAAGUCAUCUGUUGUCAUGAAGACUGUGUAUGUGAGAAGGAAGUCAUCCAGGAGAGUUUCCGUCUCUUUGUCCUGCGCGGCUUCCAGGUGCAGGUCGCUCAGGAGAUGCUCUAAAAUCUUCUCCGGCGUCCCCGACACCACCACGUACCUCCCGCGCCGCUCGGGGGCCGGGCUGCGUGACCACACCUUCCGCAGCACCAGCGCGGGGCCGGCCUCCUCCCGCGGCCGCUCGCGGCCGCCUCCAUCGUCCGCUUGUUGGUCGGUCUUCUCU